AAGCGCCAUUCUUUAAACUGUGGACUGGUUUCAGAAACUAAAGCUGUCAGCUGUGAUAUAGUCAAAAGAUCUGUUGAAGGUGAACCUGUGGAGGAAUAAAACUGUGAUUAUUUUGAAAACACGGACUGAAAAGAAUUGUUACUUUCUUGUUCAAACAUAUCUAUCUGUGUUCUGAAAAGGGCUUCCCAAACCUGAAGUAAAAAAUCAUGAACCAAAGUAAAUCUUGUGCAUUCAGACAGAGCUUUCAGUCGAGCACCAUUAUGUUAGAACUGAGCAACCUCUUUCAAUCCAGCAUCAUAAUAAAUUUUCAUAAGAACUGGUUGGACAUUUUUUAAAAGAUGCCAGUCUCCAGGAUAAAUGAGCAACCAGUCUAAUGCUUCUCCAUACUAAAAUUUUAGUUUCAUCAGUGUAUCAAAGCAUUUUCCAUCUCCGACUAAAACUAUAUGUUUUGUUAAUGUAUUAACUUGAAACCUGAUGUAUAAUAUAUGGAUCACCUACAAUACAGUGUCCCUGUCUUCUGAAUGUUCAUCUAAUACUGCAACAAAAUGAGUUUUUGAUUUCUCAUUUUUAUCUGGUAUAGAAAAGAAGUAUUUAAUGCCUUUAAAAUUUAAAUUUGCAUCAGUCAAAUCUGUAAAC
rnacentral:lncRNA from 1 species